UACGAAGGGGGCUAGCGUUGUUCGGAAUCACUGGGCGUAAAGCGCACGUAGGCGGAUCUUUAAGUCAGGGGUGAAAUCCCGGGGCUCAACCUCGGAACUGCCUUUGAUACUGGGGAUCUCGAGUCCGGGAGAGGUGAGUGGAACUGCGAGUGUAGAGGUGAAAUUCGUAGAUAUUCGCAAGAACACCAGUGGCGAAGGCGGCUCACUGGCCCGAUACUGACGCUGAGGUGCGAAAGCGUGGGGAGCAAACAGG
rnacentral:rRNA from 1 species